GGGGAUUUAGCUCAGUGGUAGAGAGCGCUUGCCUAGCAAGCGCAAAGCCCUGGGUUCGGUCCCCAGCUCCG
rnacentral:tRNA from 1 species